rnacentral:pre_miRNA from 1 species
AGCCUUCUGUAUCCAUGCUGAGAUUUCGUCUUAGACCAGACCACGAGGGCUGAUGAGACUUCUCAGAUGAGUGAAGCG